AAACAAAUCCGGAUUCGUGGCUGCCGUGUCGUUGUCGAAAAAGUUCAAAGAUGUAGCUCGUAAAAAAAAGUGAAAUAAGGUAACUAUAAUAUUAUCAAUUUUCUGACAAUCGGUAACAGCAGAUUGACCUGCUUGCAAUCGGCCUCGUCGAUGGGACAGCAGAUUGCCUGAACAGGAAACAAUUCCCGAAUCAUCGUUAUCGUUAUGUCGUUCCAUCAUCGUUAAUUCCUGCCAAUUCCUGAGAACAUCGGAUACAACAAGUACAUUGUGCUGUCCACUCCGGUCGUUAUUGCACCUGGUUGAUAUUGGUCUGAUCCGAAGGUCAUCGCAUAGUCGCAAAUAAGACAAUCUGUAUAUGCCAUCGCUCCCCAUCAUAAACGCGAAGGCCAUUGCUUUCCGCCUUCAUUAGUGGGAGGCACUAUAGCUUUUAUCAAUAUCUUCCGUUGUCCGUGCAAAAACGAAAGUUACUACUAUUCCGGAAAUGUUUUAUAAGAACUGAAUCGAGGACCAAUUUAUUAUCUUGGUUGACAAGGUGGUGCAAACAUGUGCAGAGCGCUUCAAAAUCUCCGAGAGCAGCGGACCAACGGUCCUAGGGGCACGGAUCUAUGGAAUGAAGAAGCUCGCCAAAUCAGCAGUGACCACUACAGGCCACCCGAAUCACCGUGUUAACCACCAUACGAAUUACAGAAAUCUGUUCUGGUACAUGCUGCAAGCAGGAAUCAGCACUUCAUGAUGCCAUUAGGAUAUCUUGCUUGCAGAGGAAUGGCACUUUCAUCGCUUGAACCAGGAAUCGACCACAUUGGAUUGAUCAAUAACCGUAAUUUCAAGUCCCCGGGAGAGGGAGACAGCGUGGCGAGACCGUAUACCGAGACCAUAUAUAAUUUGAAUAGGCAAUGCAUUUUCAGAUGGUUUAUGAAUAUUUAUUUUUUUUACUUGUCUUUAUUUUAAGGCUUGAGCCGUGUAUUCAAAUAAAUUACAACUAUUAUUUUUCUACAGAAGUUCAAUUACUUUAAUCAUUUAUUUUAUAAGAAAAACAAUUGUAAUGUCUCAAACAGAAAGACGAGAAAAUCACCCAAAUAUGGGUAAAAUUUACCAAUAAAUCAUCACUUCUCUA